AUGUACCACGCGUACACUCCGGUUCCUCCACGCCGUCCGCGCCCGCCCGCCUGGCGGCGCAGUAGUUUUGUUAGCC
rnacentral:sRNA from 1 species